GUGAACGCUGGCGGCAGGCCUAACACAUGCAAGUCGAGCGGCAGCGCGGGGGCAACCCUGGCGGCGAGCGGCGGACGGGUGAGGAAUUCGUCGGAAUCUGCCUUUUUGUGGGGGAUAACGUAGGGAAACUUACGCUAAUACCGCAUACGACCUACGGGUGAAAGUGGGGGACCUUCGGGCCUCACGCAGAAAGAUGAGCCGACGACCGAUUAGCUAGUUGGUAGGGUAAAGGCCUACCAAGGCGACGAUCGGUAGCUG
rnacentral:rRNA from 1 species